AGCGAACGCUGGCGGCAGGCCUAACACAUGCGAGUCGAACGAAGUCUUCGGACUUAGUGGCGGACGGGUGAGUAACACGUGGGAACGUACCUUUUGGUUCGGAACAACUCAGGGAAACUUGAGCUAAUACCGGAUGAGUCCUUAGGGGGAAAGAUUUAUCGCCGAAAGAGCGGCCCGCGUUAGAUUAGCUAGUUGGUGAGGUAAAGGCUCACCAAGGCUACGAUCUAUAGCUGGUCUGAGAGGAUGAUCAGCCACACUGGGACUGAGACACGGCCCAGGCUCCUACGGGGGGCAGCAGUGGGGAAUCUUGCGCAAUGGGCGAAAGCCUGACGCAGCCAUGCCGCGUGAAUGAUGAAGGUCUUAGGAUUGUAAAAUUCUUUUACCAGGGACGAUAAGGACGGUACCUGGAGAAAAAGCCCCGGCUAACUUCGUGCCAGCAGCCGCCGUAAGAC
rnacentral:rRNA from 1 species